rnacentral:pre_miRNA from 1 species
AAAGUACUCUCUCCGUCCCAAAAUUCUUGUCUUAGAUUUGUCUAGAUACGGAUGUAUCAAGUCACAUUUUAGUAUUAGAUACAUCCGUAUCUUGACAAAUCUAAGACAAGAAAUUUGGGACAGAGGGAGUAGUUG